UUUCCAAUGCUGGAUGUAUCGGAUGUGUCUUCUGCCAAGAUGGGAGAAAGCUUUGUGUUACAAAAAACAUUUACAAAGCUCAUAUAAGUUCUGAGCAUUAGCAACGUUUGGGGCAUUUGAUGAUUUUUCCAGCCAAGCCUCUGACAGCCAUUUGCUUAAUGUUAUAACAAAAGCAACUUGAAAAGAAAGGUGUUUCCACCAUUUGAGGAAGAGAAUCAGACUGAAAAGGAUAAGGCUGUUGGAGCAACCAGUGUCUGGAGAGCUUCUGUUCCCCUUAGCAGAAGACACAGAAGUGUGGCCAUGUGACCUGGGUGUUAAAGCUUCCAUCCAGAAGUCAUAUACAACACCCUUCUGAGGCAAAAAGGCAAGAUUGCAGUUGGAAUUGAAGAGCCAGGAGGUCAAUGACAGGUGAAGAUGAGAUUCUGAGGAGAAGUGGAUGAGGGACAAAGAGACACUUCAAGCAUUUACCGUGGAUGAAUGGAGGUGCCUGCAGCCGCCCGUGUGUUGUGUGACCUUGGCUCAGAGACCUGGCAGUCGCUUUCCAAAGGGAAAGACCAGGCAGAUUAAAUGGAUUUUUUAAAAUG